UCAAACCAAUGAUUCAUCGCCUA
rnacentral:siRNA from 1 species